UUACUCACAUAACAGAUUGAAUAAACGCUUCUCUUGACUUCUCCUGCUUGGUGGAAAUUAGUUUGACUGCAGAAAUCAAGAGUGCAACAUGUCCAUUAGAAGUCUAGUAUUUUUAUUGCUGCUGCUUUAUAGCUUUUAUAUGAUCGAAGCCCAAAAAAAAGCUAAACCCACAAGUGAUUCGAUGAGAGUGGUCAAAAGAAUGAGAACAAAACUGUUGAAUAUGAUGGAAAGAAUACAUCAAUAGAAGAACUAAAACUUGGAGAGAACAACAAUGCGGUUAUACAAACUCGUCAAUAAUAUCGACGGUUAUACAAACUCGUCAAUAAUAUCGAAAUUGACUUAAUUAUUAUUUGUGAUUUUUGCGUAUCUUAUCGUGGUCUCGUUUAAUUAUCUACCGCAAUAAAUAUUUAUUUGGAGUAGUAAAGGAA